rnacentral:rRNA from 1 species
UACGUAGGUGGCAAGCGUUGUCCGGAUUUAUUGGGUUUAAAGGGUGCGUAGGCGGCUUUGUAAGUCAGUGGUGAAAUAUGGCAGCUCAACUGUCAGGGUGCCAUUGAUACUGCGGAGCUUGAGUACAGAUGAGGUAGGCGGAAUUGACGGUGUAGCGGUGAAAUGCUUAGAUAUCGUCAAGAACACCUAUAGCGAAGGCAGCUUACUAGGCUGUAACUGACGCUGAGGCACGAAAAGUGUGGGGAUCAAACAGG